CUGCCUUUCUGUUGAUUAGAAUUAGGUGUCGUGGGGAUGUUCCUAUGGUUGGCUCUGUUCCGCUAUUCCCGUGCGUGGAAUCGGCAGCAAAGCGGAGGAAUUUCAGGCGAAGGAAGGAUUUGACCGGCAGCUCGGGUGCCCGCCCCCUGGGGGUCUGAAAUCGUGGCCGCCCGCGUCCCCCAGAAGGUGCUGCAGUUCGCCGGCAUCGAUGAUGUCUUCACUUCCUCUCGUGGAUCCACCAAGGUAGAGGGACAAAAAUUCAAGAUUCAAAUGAGCAACUCAAAUUCAGGAUUUGAGUUACCAACGUAAUGUCUACGACUAGCUGAUGGUUCAAGAGUUCAAAGAAAGUCAAGCCUAAUGGAAUACUACACAUGCCCAUGCUGCUAUAUGCCAAGGGAUGAUAAUUCUUGCGCGAUUAUGAAAAGUACCAAUAGAGUGAGAACAAGAUGGGGCCAAAGAGGCAACAUAUAUGAGCAUAGAAGGUAGCAGGAUAAAUGACAUUUAUGUACUGAAGAACAGUGGCUGAGUAAGUCUCAUCAUCCUAGAAGACUAAAUAAUGACAUGUUUACUUCAGUUAAGCUUGACUGGAGAAUAAAAUGCUUUCCUUGUUAUGUUCUUUAUUACUUCACUCUCAGUAAUUCCUUGUCUGUAACUGUUGUUUCUUCAGUUGCAUAUCUCCGUGAUCAGCUUAAGUAGUAGACA